AUCUCUUCGGAGACAUCUUAUAAAAUUGGAACAAUAAAUAGAGGAUUAGCAAGGCCACUGCAUAAGGAUGACACGGUCAAAUUGAGAAAAAGUUUAUAUGUUA